GGUCCAGAUCACGCCAGGCCCUGUGGCCCCGGGGCGGGCAGUCAGAUGUCACAGAGAUGGAUGGGAGGCCCCUCGAGGCUUGGAGCAAGUGGAUGACAUGAGAUGACUCACUCUUUAAAAGCAUCAUUGCUGGCUGCUGGUUCCAGGAACAGAUGCCGAAGAUCAUUUUAGACGACACAUUGAGAAUCACUGUGGAUGAAAAUUAUUAGAGAAGCCAAGACUGGGGAUGAUGCCCUUGGAUACCUCAUCUAGGAAACUGCACCCCCAAACUCUGAUCUCAAGGAUGCCCAGUGAUGGUUUUGGUGCUGGCGGAAAGCUAUAGCAGGCGAACUGACUAUCACCAUUUGUCUGAUUAGGGGUUUCACAGCUUAUAUUACCUUAUUCCCCGUUCAUUUCGUAAAUCUUCUAGUAGCACAGACAAUUUUAAAAGGAUCAAAAAUGAUGAGUUUCUCCCAUAAAAGCCUCCUUAUUCUCCACUGCUGUCUCAGAUGGCAGGGCACCUGUGGUUUAGCUCAAUUUGACAAUAUGGGAGGGAGUUAUGAGGCAAGAAGUCUAUGGUUUGGUGCAUUUGUUCUCUGUGCUUCGUAUUGUUUAUUAAACUGGAUCACUCCAGGGCCUUGA